CGUGCUUGGCGAGGACCUGCAGCGUCGGGCGUUGGACCCGGCCGACCUGGAUGAUCCGGUCCUCGUUCUGCUCGAGGAAGGACGCC
rnacentral:tRNA from 1 species